rnacentral:rRNA from 1 species
UACGUAGGGUGCAAGCGUUAAUCGGAAUUACUGGGCGUAAAGCGUGCGCAGGCGGUUAUGUAAGACAGGUGUGAAAUCCCCGGGCUUAACCUGGGAACUGCAUUUGUGACUGCAUAGCUAGAGUACGGUAGAGGAGGAUGGAAUUCCGCGUGUAGCAGUGAAAUGCGUAGAUAUGCGGAGGAACACCGAUGGCGAAGGCAAUCCCCUGGACCUGUACUGACGCUCAGGCGCGAAAGCUAGGGGAGCGAACGGG